rnacentral:rRNA from 1 species
UGCGUAGGUGGUCUUGUAAGUCAGAAGUGAAAGGCUACGGCUUAACCGUAGUAGCUUUUGAAACUGCAGGACUUGAGUGCAGGAGAGGAAAGUGGAAUUCCUAGUGUAGCGGUGAAAUGCGUAGAUAUUAGGAGGAACACCAGUGGCGAAGGCGACUUUCUGGACUGUUACUGACACUGAGGCACGAAAGCGUGGGGAGCGAACA